AUGAGUGUUGAACUUUGUUUUGGACUCUUAAGAAACCAGAUCAGGAGUUUUCUGAGCCACUGCACUUCUGUUGAACCUUCUGGCCUAUUGCGUCAUUUCCAGGACAGGCCUUGGCAGUGUGGCAGCUAUAUUAAACCAAUUUUGAGUUCCUCUGAACCAUGUAGGCGUCUGCUAUGUAACAGUAAUGGAGUUCUGUUGAGCCACACGCCUUCUGACAAAUCAUUAGCAACAGAAAAGGUCGAAGGUGUUGAAGAGAUCUCUGAUCCGAAUUGUCUGCUGCAUACCAAGCCUGGAGGCCAUUACAUCAAGUGCAAGAGGAGGCUUCACGAAGGACUCGCCAUGUCAUGGACAGAGAGAUUCAGCAUUACCUCUUAUUGGAACUCUAAUCUCAGACUCUCUCCCCAGUUCUUCUCUUUCUCCUGUUGACUAUCUUCUGCAUGUUUGUAAAGUUACCCAGAGCUGUGCGUUCAUGUCCUAGUAGUUCAAUAAAUGGCAAAUUUCCACAUAUCCUCUCUUCUAGAUCUUGAAUCCUAUUCAGAAAAGCAUUAGGAUUGCUUCUUACACCCGGAGCAUCUCUGCCUUUCUCAGUCACCCUCUGUGCCUCCACUGUUAGAAAUGAGGUCAUCUCAGCAUAUGAUGCAACUGAGAAAUGGUUGAGCUAUGAAAUUCAAGCCUGUUUCAUCUAGAUCUAACACCUAGCACCCACACAAAAUUGCUAUCUAGACAGUGGCACAUGAGCCAUUGGGUUGCUGGUCUAAAUACUUCAGUGAACGUGUCUAGAUCUGCUGGUAGUGAAUGGUACCCUGGUUCAUGGCCAAAUAAAGCACAUUAAAUCAGUGUGAUAUUUGGGAUGUUGGUAUAGUGUAAUAUGUUACUCCAAAAUCCAUUUUGAUCAGAAGUGCAUGGUGUUCAUGAGCCUGUGGGAUACCAGUCUGGGCUCCACUCAGUAUGUCUUCCAGUCAUCUGAAUUAAAGGACCACUGUGAACAGCUUCUGUGAUUGUACAUCUAGUCUCUCGUCCACUGUGAUCUUGUUAGAAUAGAAAUAAAGGUCCAUCCUAGUUCGGCAGGUCAAUCACCUGGCUAAAAGACCGCGUUGAAGAAGGUCAUGCUAAAGAGGUAGGCAGAAUAAUCAUUUCUUUAAUGGGAUAAUUUAAUUUUCCUUCCCAUAAACCCUGCCCCUACCAGAGUAGCUUACUGGGCCAUAGCUGUAGGGCGUUGUAAGUCUGCAAGCUUUUCUAAAUGAUUCAGGAAAGUGCAACUUCUCCUUUACUCUUAUCUCUUGUCUAAGCAUUAUUUUGCUAAUGCUCUGAGUUGCCCCAACAUUUUGGGCUUCCUUACUCUUUUUCUAAAACACCCCUCUCUGCCUUACGCCAAAUGUCCACCAUGUGUCUGACCUCCAUGCUGGCCUGAACAGUAUAACUUCGUCCCCUUUCUCCCCUUCACUCUCCUCCACAGGUAGUUCUGAAACUUAGAGCUUGCCUAUCCUGGAGUUUUUCUUUUAAGCACUAAUAAAAUUUACCACCCACUUCUAUUUCUGUCCAUUCUUAAGUUUUUUUAAUUAAGAAUCCCAAGACGGGGGUGCUGGAGAGAUGGCUCAGAGGUUAAGAGCACUGUCUGCUCUUCCAGAGGUCCUGAAUUCAAUCCCCAGCAACCACAUGGUGGCUCACAACCAUCUGUAAUGGGAUUCAAUGCUCUGUUCUGGUGUGUCAGUGACAGGAUG
rnacentral:lncRNA from 1 species